CAGGGUGAGGAGCUCAAGAGAGGGAGGCAAGCGCAUCCUAGGGUGGUGCUGGACAAGCGUGUGGGCUGAGGCAGAGACUUAGCUUUAGAGUGGAGAGAAGCAGCCCAACCUGGGUGCACCCCAGAAAACCAGCUUCCCUGAGCUGCAACCUCUGGGGUGACAACACUUCCCUGUGCUAAGGGGGAGAACCAAGCACCAGGUUGGAGGGGUGUUGUAAGCAAUUCUGUCCCAACAGGCACUUAGAACGUGCUUUUGAAUAGUGACUCCUCCAGGAAGCUCUCAGGGAUUUCUCCUCCCUCCAUCCCAUUAGUCCCGGCUGUCUGUCCCACUGGGUGGACCCUAUUCAAAGCCCUCUGGGCUGCUGGCCCUUUGUCCAGGAAUACAUCUCUGCUCUGGCUUGAGGCCAGGGCCCCUCAUUCCUCUCUGCAGACUCUGAAGUGCCGGCACACAACAAAGUCCAGCAGCCACAGAGUUGGGAACCCCAACAGCCCCGAAGAUAUGGUCCACUGGUUUCACACGGGCAGCCUGGAUUGCAGCCUGUGACACCUCUCUGUGUCUACCAGCUGCCACACAGUCAGGCCACAGCCACAGAGGAACGCUCAGAGAUGACCAGGCCAUUAAGGGUCAAGGUCUGAGCACAACCAGGAAGGAGGCACUGGGCCAGGCCAAGGGCAGCAGCUCCGGACUAUGAGAGGACCCACAACGGCCCCAUCUCCUGACCCCACCAUGCUGGGUGUUAAAUGGCUUCACAGAGGACUCUGCAGGGGAACAUUCAGUCCACAUGGGACCGGCCCUCUUCAGCUCUCCAUGCAGGGGCCUGGAGUGAGGCUCAUGGGCAACGUCGCCAAGGCUCGAGUGCCACUGCAGCCCCAAAGCACUCACGAGUGUGCACAUCCUCAGAAAUGAAGUGCCGUCAAUUGCAUCGCACAUCCACUUGCACAUGCUUGCUGUGUACUUAGGGGCUGCACUGGAACUCAGGGCUGGUCCAUCCAGGGGUGCACGUGCUCACAACGUGGACAGAAACUGGCAGAAAAAUGCUUUUCAGCUUCCUCCUUCCCUUUCCCAGGGUCCAACACCCGCUAUGUGAAGAAUCACGGGACAAUUCCUCAAAGGGUUGCUUUCCUCCCAAGGCCUUCUAAAAUUUCCACGUGAAAACUCGAGGGCGAAUGGAGGGGUGGAUUCUGGCAGCCGUUGCACCCGUGUCCUGGGGCGGCUGGAAGCACGUGCCGCAAACUCAGCGGUGGAAACAGCAGAAACUCAUCCUCCCGCAGUCCUGGAGACCGGAAGUCCAACAUCAGGGUGUGGAUGGGGCUGCCAGCCUCUGAGGGCACUGAGGAGGCACCUGCUCCGGGCCCAGCUCCUGGUGUCUGGGACUCCUGGGCUGUGUGGGUGGCAUCACUCUAGUGGGCCCUGUUUAUGCCUCUGCAUCUGGUUCCCCUUCUCCCAAGGACACCAGUCCUUUUGGGUUAGGGCCCACCUCAAUGAUCUCAUCUUGCCUUGACCAUC